GUACCUUCAAGCUCUGCUUGGUGUUGGGUGUUUUGUCCUCUCCAUUGCGUUUGGACUCGCCUUAAAGCAAUUGGCAGCCAGUGUAUUGGUUUUAAGCGCAGCACAUCUUGCGUCUUUUUUCCUAUCACACUCGCGUCCAUUAAGCCUUUUUAUCAC
rnacentral:misc_RNA from 3 species